UGGGGAAUAUUGGGCAAUGGGCGCAAGCCUGACCCAGCAAUGCCGCGUGAGAGAAGAAGGUUUUCGGAUUGUAAAUCUCUGUCCUAAGGGAAGAAGAAAGUGACGGUACCUUAGGAGGAAGCCCCGGCUAACUACGUGCCAGCAGCCGCGGUAAUACGUAGGGGGCAAGCGUUGUCCGGAAUUACUGGGCGUAAAGGGCGCGUAGGCGGCCUGCCAAGUCUUGUGUGAAAACCCUGGUUUCAAGCCAGGAGGUGCACGGGAAACUGGCGGGCUUGAGUGCAGGAGAGGGAAGUGGAAUUCCAAGUGUAGCGGUGAAAUGCGUAGAGAUUUGGAGGAACACCAGUGGCGAAGGCGACUUUCUGGACUGUAACUGACGCUGAGGCGCGAAAGCGUGGGGAGCAAACAGG
rnacentral:rRNA from 1 species